AGGACUGGAAGAACUGACUUUCUGUGGGAGGACAGUUUGUUGAUGGUGUGAGGAAGGAAGUCCAGCCUAGAAGUGGGUGGGGCCAUGUGGAACUGUUGUCAUGGCAACUACCAUCUCCAUGAAAUGGGAAGCAGUGCCAGAGCAUCCCUAAGACAAGGGAGGGAAGAGGACACUUUUGAGGUUAGAGAAGGGCCAGUCUGAAACAGUCACCUAGGAAAGUGUAGGGGGUGAGCCUGGUUCUAUAUUCAGACCUCUAUGGACCACUCACCACAGUGAAAAAUUCAUUUACAUUCAGAUCCAGUAGACAGCACAUUUCACAAAACAAUAUUUAACCUUAUUAUAUUUGGUGGGCUCUGACCUUUUUUCUAUUUUAUCUCACUUUUUUAAUGCAUAUUGGACCUACUAAAUUGGCUCCUUGACCCACAAGUAAAUCUUGACCUGAGGCUUGUAAAAGGCUGAGUUAAGGAGGCAGCAUUGACCCACGACCCCCUAGAGGCCUGUAGGAAGGAGUGGUCAUCAAGACAAAGGAAUGCCUAUGUCCAGUCCUCCACAGUCCUCUACAGUUCUUCCCUGAACCGGGGUGGACUGCUGGUUUGCAGAGUUGGGAGCUGCGUGAAGCUGAGUCAGUUAGGGGUGCAGCCAGAACAGCAUAGGAUUCGAUUUGGCGACGGGGUGGCAUUGGAACUGCUAACGCCCCAUGUGUGCUGUCCUCUCCUGAGGACUUCUUCACACAAAGCAAUUCAUUGAACCCUCACAACUACCCUGGAAGUUGGGCCCUGUAAUUAGCCCUGUGUUACAGAGGAGGAAACUGUGGCCCUGAGAGGAUGUCUGCCUCUGUCUGAAAACACCUUCUAUGAAUAUAAAGGAAACACCAACGGCCAGUGCCAGCUCUGCCCAGCGGAUCUCUG